rnacentral:rRNA from 1 species
AGCGAACGCUGGCGGCAGGCUUAACACAUGCCAGUCGAGCGGGCAUCUUCGGAUGUCAGCGGCAGACGGGUGAGUAACACGUGGGAACGUACCCUUCGGUUCGGAACAACUCUGGGAAACUGGAGCUAAUACCGGAUACGCCCUUAUGGGGAAAGGUUUACUGCCGAAGGAUCGGCCCGCGUCUGAUUAGCUAGUUGGUGGGGUAACGGCCUACCAAGGCGACGAUCAGUAGCUGGUCUGAGAGGAUGAUCAGCCACACUGGGACUGAGGCACGGCCCAGACUCCUACGGGAGGCAGCAGUGGGGAAUAUUGGACAAUGGGCGCAAGCCUGAUCCAGCCAUGCCGCGUGAGUGAUGAAGGCCUUAGGGUUGUAAAGCUCUUUUGUCCGGGACGAUAAUGACGGUACCGGAAGAAUAAGCCCCGGCUAACUUCGUG